rnacentral:lncRNA from 1 species
UUUAUGUAUGUGGGUCCUAAGUAGGGAAGAAGGUAAAUGACAAGAAUGCCCCCACUUUAAAGUGUAGAAAAAGUCGCGUUGUCGUUACUAGUUACCUUACGACUUGUGAAAUCUAGCUACGAGUCGUCUCCACAACUCAUAGUAUGAGAAGUAUCUCAAGGACCCCUUACUAUUGACCCUAUGAGUCACACACUAUGACUCAUGAUGUUUCAAUACAAUACAUAGGGUCCUAGUCAUUGUCAAGGGAGAAAUAUCAGUCACCUUUACUGGUUUGGAUAUGAGAAGCACUAUGCGACUCGUGUAGAGUCUUGAUAACUCGUUGGGUCAAGUUGUACUCAGAAAAGACACCUUGGGAAACCUUAUUGGUCAGCCUAUGAUUGCGGUACUACAACCCAUCAAUACACCAUACGACUCAUAAGGUGAGUCAUAAUCAGGGCAGAAAGCUGAAAGUCUAGAAAUUUUUCAAGGACCAAAAUUUAGGGUGUCACAUCCCCCCCCCCCUUCCCAGGGAUUAUUCAUCCCUGAAUAAUGAGUCAAGGCAUCCAUUAGCACAAUUUCAAGAUAGAACACGACCACAAAUUUCCUUUCACAAGGUUAUAAAACAAAGAUGUUAAGGAACACACAUAGCUUAAGCACGAUUAUCUGGAACAUGGAAAAAGAACGAAUAUUUGGACUUCAUGUCUUCUUCAUCUUCCUAAGUAACUUAUUCAACCUUAUGAUUCCUCCAUGGAGCGUUCACUGAAGCCACAUUCUUAGUCCUCAAUAGACGAACAUGCCUAUCCAAAAUAUCCACUGAGAUUUCCUCACAAGAUAAGGAAUCUGUAAUACCCACACUCACUAAAGAAACAGCCAAGGAAGGAUCACUACUCACUUCUUUAACAUCAAAACAUGAAAUACCAAGCGAAUGGAACCCAAACUAGAUAAAUUCAACUCAUAAGCCAUAUUUCUUACUCUCCUCAAAAUCAAGUACGGGCCAAUGUAACGGGGACUGAGUUUCCCUGUCUUUCUAAACCUCAUCACUCUUUUCAUGGGAGACACGUUCAAGAACAUCCAAUCACCAAUAUCAAACUCCAAUUCCCUAUGCCUCACAUUCGUAUAGGACUUUUGGCGAAUUUGGGCGAUCAUAAGCCUAUCCUAAUCACCUUCACCUUCUCUAUGAUCUGAUGGACUAAGUCAAGAACUAACAAUCUAGUCUCACCAACUUUGAACCACCCAAUAGGAGAACGACAUCUCCUACCAUAUAAAGCCUCAAACGGAGCCAUCUGAAUACUAGAAUGAUAGUUGUUAUUAUACGCAAACACUAGGAGAGGAAAAUAUCAACCCAACUACUACCAAAGUAAAUCAUGCAGGCCCUUAGCAUAUCUUCCAAAGUCUAAAUAAUUCUCUUCACUUGUCCAUCCAUCUGAGGGUGGAAAGCGGUGCUAAGGUUCACCUUAAUUCUGAAACUUCUCUGAAAAGACCGCCAAAAGUGAGAUGAGAACUGCAUACCUCGAUCAUAUAUAAUGGAAACAAGAGCACCAUGCAACUUGAUGAUCUCCUAAAUAAAAAUUUUAUUAUAAUCCUCUGCAGAAUAAUUAGUCCUUACGGGCAAGAAAUAAGCAGACUUGGUUAUCCCAUCCACGAUGACCCAAAUCGAUUCAAACUGAUGACGAGACUAUGGAAGACCAAUAUCAAAGUCCAUGUUAAUUACUUCAGACUUCCACACGAUCAACUUAAUAUCCUAAGACAAACCACCAGGCCUCAAGUGCUCCACUUUCACUUUAUGACAAAUCCUACACUUGGCCACAAAAUUAGCUACAUCCCUCUUCAUGUUAUUCCACCAAUAGAUCUCUUUCAAGUCAUGGUUUAUUGUAACACCCCGGGAGUACACCCUGGAUGCUACACGGUGCUUACGGUCAUAAAUGACCCCAAGCCAAUCCAUGAGCUAGUAGCUAUUGUGAGCACUGAACAAACUAAAAACAAAAGAUACACAUAUGCAAAAAAACUAAAAACGCUACAAGGUUUAGCUACUAAAACAUCUCUAAAAUUUUAAGCUUGAAAAUAAUUGUUUGAACAGAAUACUAUAAAGACUAUCAAAAACAACUAAUAAUUGACUAACUAUCUGAAAGUAUUUGAAAGCCUCUAACUAACUGACUGUAAAGUUGAUAGGGACAAGUCUCCAACUAACUCCGACUGGCUACUAAAUUGAAACACUGAAAUAACUAUAAACAGUCCUUGGAGUAUGAGGACUCACCACUGAUACGCUGGGUGGUGUAGGUGCAGUUGAGAAAAUGAGUGUUCGAACUUAUGAUAUGAUACAUCAUAGCACAAGAAACAAGUAUAUGGUCAAUACUUUGAAUGUACUGGUAUGCUAGAUCGGGUUAGAAUGAUAUGCAUGGGCUCGUGUACAUGAAUAAUAACUACCCAAAUAAAUAGCAUGAGAUAACCGAUGCAUGGUAUACAUGAAAGUUGUAAAAUCAGAGCAUGCAUGACCAAGCAUAUAACAUGAUACUGAAAUAGUUUGUAAACUAAAAUCAUUGAAAUCUAGUAACUAAAUAACUGAUAAUUGUAUGCUAUAGUCAAUACAAACCUAAACUGAAUUAUACUAAAGACUAAACUAAGACUAUGGGAGCUAGCUAUAACCGACAUGCCCCAAUAUAUUAUCAAUGUCCAACUUGUAACCCCAGUUGGAAGGGUGUCAGUACCGUGCCAUGGGUACUAACACUGGCUGUAUGGAUCUACUAUCUGAUGUCCCAGAGGAUGAGGGUGCUAUGCCUAAUUGAUGGGGGACCCCUUAAAUUCUAUGGUGUCACCGUUGGUCUGGAACCUAGGGACUGCUACUAACGCCUCAUGCCUAACUGAUGGGGGAGACUCCAUCCCUAAGUUCACUUAGUGUUGAAUGUUACUCCCAACUUAAGAAAUUAAUUCUAUACUGAAAUAAUAAUGAUUAAACCAACAACUAAUCAUACUAACCGCUUGAAGGAUAAUGCUUAUGGUUUCUAUGAGAUCGUUCUACAAAUACUGGGACAAUGUAAACAGCUAAAUUUUGGAGAAUUCAUAACCCCAAGGACUCAAUGAUAAUAAUAAUAAGAACAUACUGAACCUUCGAAAACCAUAAUAAGUAGUCUUUGUUCAAAACCCAAAAUCAUUUAGGCAUUUCAUCAAACACUUUAAAUUCAUGGGUUUAAGCAUGGGAAUAGUGUAAUUCAUGGUAUAAUAACAUAACUUCAGUACUAAAAUCAUGGGUUAAGAAUUUAAAAUGCAACUUUCAUCCUUCAAACAUGUCAAGGGCUAAUAUUCAACGAAAACACAUGUAAAUAUGGUAUAAAAAUUGAAACUCAUGGAAGUUCAUGCACAUAAUUCAUGAUAACAUGUAAAGAUCAAAAUUUUAAACUUGAAAAUAGAUUCUUGGACUCCAUGGGUGAAAAGGACCCAUGGAUGAACAGAAAACAUACCUUAAUUGAAUAAUUCGUGAAGGUUCUUGGUAGUUUUCUUGAAACUUGAGCUUGAAUCUUGAAGGGGCUAGGGUUUGUUCUUGAGAUAGAAUGGUUUUCAGUUGAGGGAGUUUGAGUAAAAGAUGACCAAAUAUGCUUUGGGGGGCUUUAAUCCCAUUUAUGGCUGAGGUAAAGUGAGGGAAAAGACUAAAAUACCCUCCUGGACCCAGAAUUAAUUAACCUUAAACGUGGCCAGUGACGCGAUAAGCGACGUGUCGCAUUGCUCAGUCAAUGCAUUAGGAGACGCAUCGCAUUGCACCCCACCAAUAUGAUAAGCGGUGUGCUGCGGCCAUAUCACACUGACUCACUGGUUUGAACAUCCAAACAAGCCUUAAACCUCAUCCAAAAAAUCUAAAACUUACCCAAGACAUGCUACCAACCACCUCGAUCAUGAAUCAACUUAAAAAUCAAUGUUCUAAGGCCGAGUAGGUCGGAAUUAAAAUUGUCAAAGUUUAAGGGGCUUUGAAAAUGACUAAGUCUUAACACAUAGUGAAAUUUUCUAAGUCUUGGACCCCUUUAACAUGCAAGAGUGAGCUGAAAUAAGUUAGGACAUUACAGGGUCUUAUAAUAUCUCCCAUUUGGGAAUAUUUAUUCUCGAAUUAGAUUGGUUAAACUGAGUAUUACUGAGGUAUUGAGAUGACAUGAUGAAUAUACACAACUGAAACAUGAUUUCAUGACUGAGUUUGAACAUGGUGACUAACUAAACUGGUUUGUGAAUACAUGCAAUGACAUGAAUAUGACCAUAUGGCUGUAACUGAGGAUAGAAAAGAGAUAAUCUAAGGGAAAACUAUUACCUCGAACUGAAUCUAAGUUUGCAGAGAAGAGGUGAGGGUACUUGGUUUGCAUAUAUGCUUCUAUUUUCCAAGUGGCUCCCUCAACAAGCUUAUUCCUCCAUAAAACUUUAACCAGGGAAACAUUUUUGUUCCUUAGUCUCCAAAUCUGACAAUCUAGGAUCUCAACUGGGAUCUUUUCAUACGAAAUGCUAUCCUGAACAUCUACACUUUUAAGGGAACAACUACAGCUGGAUCGCCAAUACACUUCUUUAAUAAAGAAACAUGGAACACUUGGUGAACGGAUGCCAAGUCUGCAGGCAAUUCAAGCUCGUAAACUACUUUUUCAAAAUGACUCAAGAUCCUGUAAGGUCCAACAUAUCGGGGACUAAGUUUUCCCUUCUUGAUAAACUUUUUCACUCCCUUCAUGGGAGAGAUUUCAAAUAAAUUGAGUCUCUAACUGCUAACUCGAGAUCCUUCCUAUGAACAUCCGCAUAUGAUUUUUGGCAGCUUUGGGUUGUCUUAAGCAUUUCUCUGAUUACCUAAGCUUUCUUCAAUGGAUUAAAUACUGAAUCUGUACCUAUCAACACAGUCUCACCUACCUCAAACCAACCAAUAGGAGAUCUAUAUCUCCUCACAUAGAGAGCCCCAAAUAGAGCCAUCUGAAUACUAGAAUGAUAACUAUUACAGUAAGUAAACUCAAUUAGUGACAAGUGAUCAUACUGCCCUUAAAGUCGAUAACACAAAAUUUGAAUAUGUCCUCUAAGGUAUGAAUAAUCCUCUCUGCCUGACCAUAUAUCUGAGAGUGAAAGGUUAUAUUGAGACAAACUUGGGUGCCAAAGCCCUUCUGAAAAGCUUUCCAAAAGUAAGAGGUAAAAUGAGUACCUCUAUCUAAAAUAAUGAACAAUGGGACUCCAUGUAACCUAACCAACUCUUUAAUAUAGAGCUUGGAAUAAUCUUCGACUGAAUAAGAAGUAUGGACUGGUAAGAAAUGGGCUGAUUUGGUCAUUCUAUCUAUAAUAACCCAAAUCGAAUCAUGCUGACGACGUGAACGAGGCAACUCUAUCACAAAGUUCAUGUUUAACUCUUCCCACUUUUAAGUGGGUAUCCUGAACUCCUACAUAGAGCCACUAGGCCUUUGGUGCUCAACCUUAACCUACUAACAAUUAGAACACUUUGCUACAAAUUUUACAAUAUCUCUCUUCAUUCCACUCCACCAAUAGAUUUCCCACAAAUCACGGUACAUCUUAGUAGCUCCUAGGUGAAUUAAGUAAGGCGCACCAUGUGAUUCUACAAGAAUUUACUGCCUUAACCCAUCAACACACGGUAUGCACAGCCUACCCUGACACCGCAACGCACCAUCUUCUCUUAGGAGAAAACCUCUACCUUUUGAUCUCUGACUAACUCCUUCAACAUAACUAGACUAGAAUCCUUAUCUUGAUUUUCUUUCACUUUGGCAACCAAAGAAGAUUCUAAACUUUUCUGAACCCAUACACUACCCUCAGCUGAGUCAACCAAAUGAAUGCCUAAUCUAUCCAACUGAUGAACCUCCUGAACCAACUUCUUUUUAUCACUCUCAACAUGAGCAACAAUACUCAUAGACAAUCUACGAAGGGCAUCUUCCACUACAUUGUCCUUGUUCAGAUGAUACAAAACACUCAUAUCAUAAUCUUUCAAUAAUUCUAACCACCUUAUCUGACGAAUAUUUAACACUUUCUGCAAUAACACAUACUGCAAACUCUUGUGAUCUGUAAACACAUCAAUAUGUACCCCAUACAGAUAAUGCCUCUAAAUCUUUUAGGCAAACACAACGGUUGCUAACUCAAGGUCAUUGGUGUGAUAAUUCUUCUCAUGAGGAUUAACCUGUGUAGAUACAUAGUUUAUAACAUUACCUCUCUGCAUCAGAACGAACCCCAAACCAACUCUAGAAGUAUCCCAGUAAGCAACAAAUCUAUCUGAACCAUCUAGCAAGGUCAAAAUUUGGGAUGAAGUAAGUUGAGUCUUCAACUGCUGAAAACUCUUCUUGCAAGAAUUUGACCACUAAAACUUGAUGUUCUUCUGAGUCAAUCUGGACAUGGGGGGGUGCAAUAGAUGAAAAGCCUUCAACAAACCAUCAAUAAUAUCCAGCCAAACCUAAGAAACUCUUAAUAUCUAAUAGAGAAAUAGGUUGGGGCCAGUUUCUCACUGCUUUGGUCUUUUGAGGGUCAACUCUAAUGCCAUCAGCGAAAAUAAUAUGGCCAAGGAAAUCUACUAAUCUUAUCCAAAACUUUCACUUAUUGAAUUUGGCAAAUAGUUAAUGGGCUCUAAGAGUCUACAAUACUAUUUUGUGGUGGUCUGCGUGAUCAUUUUCAUUAUGGAAAUAGACAAGGAUAUCAUCUAUGAUGACUAUGAUGAACAUGCCCAAGUACUGUUUGAACACUCGAUUCAUCAAGUCCAUAAGAGCUACUGCGGUAUUUUUCAGACCAAAGGACAUGACAAAAAACUCAAAGUGACCAUACCGAGUUCUAAAAGCUAUUUUUGGAAUGUCACAUUCUCUGACUCUGAGCUAGUGGCAGACGAAUCUGAAGUCUAUCUUAGCGAAAUAACUGGCACCCUGAAGUUGGUCAAAUAAGUCAUCAAUCCUGGGUAAUGGAUACUUAUUCUUGAUUUAUGACUUUAUUCAAUUGACGGUAAUCGAUACACAUUCUAAGAGAACCAUCUUUCUUAUGCACGAAAAAGAUUGGAGCGCCCUAUGGGUAAACACUGGUCUGAUGAAUCCUUUGUCUAAGAGGUCUUUUAACUAUUCUUGUAACUCCCUAAGCUCUAUUGGAGCCAUUCUGUAGGAAGAAAUAGAGAUAGGCUAGGUAUCUAGACGAAGGCCUAUUCCAAAGUCAAUUUCCCUUUUGGGAUGAACCCUGAGAAGAUCUUUAGGUAACACAUCUAGAAAUUCCCUCACUACUGAAACUAACUCGAGACUGAAAGUCUUCAAACUGGCAUCUUUGACUCAAACAAGAUGGUAUAAACACUCCUUAGAUAUUAUUUUUCUCACUCUAAGGUACAAAACAAGCUGACCCUUAAGUGCUAAAGUACUAUGCUUCCAUUCUAGGACAGGUUUAUUCAAAAACUGAAAAUGAAUAACCCUCUUUCUACAAUCAACUAAAGCAUAGCAUGAGUGGAGCCAAUCUAUGAAGAAAAUGACAUCAAAAUCCGUUAUCUCAACUCCACAAGGUCAGCUGAAGUAACUUUUUAGGAUAUUAUGACCGGACAGUUCCUGUAUACCGGACUGUCUAUAAUAUAGACACCUACUGGAGUAGACACUAAAAAGGGUUGUGCUAAAGUCUCAGGACUGACACCAAAAUUCAUAGUUAUAUAGAGAGUUACAAAAGAAAGAGAAGCUCCGAGAUCUAACAAAACAUAAAAAUAUAAAUAAAAGACCUGUAACACACUUGUAAUAACAUUAAGAGAACUUUCUUGAUCAUGAUAGGACAGAAGUGCAUACAAUCUAUUCUAGUGCUGACCGUUGGUAGCACUAAAAGUGUUGCCUUGCUGGGUCGGGCGACCUGUUGGUGCUGCUGAAGAGUUAGUCUGACCCUACUAGUGAUCAUUCAUACCCUUCCACAUACCAUUCGAAGAUUCCUUCAACCUGUCGCCUGGAUUUCUAUAUCUAAAACACACAUCGCUGCCAGCCCUGCAUACCCCUUAAAGAUUCCUACCAUAUUUUUUGCGGAGGGGAUUAGUUUGACCACUAUUCACACUACCCUGAGUCUUAGAGCCUAGCACCCUAUCUCGAUUACCAAUUAUGAACUUUGGCAUAGGAGCACUAGCUAAAGACAAAGCUGGAGCUAAAGAUUUCUAACAGAAUUAAGGAUGGUUACCACCCUCUGACCUCGACUGAGUAAAAUUAAAGCUACCUAUCCUAGACCUCUUGUUCUCCCUUUCUUUUACCUUAACCUUCUACUGCUCAAUCUGCUGAGCAUGGACCAUAAUCCUAGACAAGUUUAUUUCCUUCAUCAACAUUGCAGUCCUACACUCCUUGACCAUGCUAUUAGCUACAACAGAGACCAACUUAUCAUUUUAGACCUGUUAUCAGCCACCAUCGAAUGAGAAUACCUAGCCAACUGGGUAAACUUAAGGAAAUACUCCCUCACACUCUUGUUACCCUACUUCAAGUUAAUAAAUUCCUGCACCUUAUCUUCCCUUAACUCUAAGGGAAAGAACCUAUCUAAAAAGGUAGUAGAAAAUUCCUCUUAUUUAAUAUGCCCUACAUCUAUGCCUCUAUCCCCCUUCCACAGCUUAUACUAGGUGAGUUACGUCCUAUAACUAGUAAGCACCCAACUCUACACUCUCACUAAAGGUCACAAUAAUAAUGUCAGUUACCUUCUGAACCAAGUCAACAAACUCGUUCGGAUCCUCAUCAGACUUGAAUCCCAAAAACAGAGGAGGGUUUAUUGGGUAAAGUCCCAAAUCCUAGCUGCGGUAGAGUUUGCUACUGGAAUGGCAGGGACAGUAGCCUGCUUAUUAUUCUGAGCUACUACUGAGUGAUCUAAAGUAGUGAAGGAGUUUAUGGAUUCAUCAUGAGAGACAUGCUCGUUCAAGUAAGUCCCAAAUCCUAGCUGCGGUAGAGUUUGCUACUGGAAUGGCUGGGACAGUAGCCUGCUUAUUAUUCUGAGCUACUACUAAGUGAUCUAAAGUAGUGAAGGAGUUUAUGAAUUCAUCAUGAGAGACAUGCUCGUUCAAGGGAGCUUCCUGAACAAGUGGAGGUGCCGGCUGAUUCUCAUUUCUUCUUCUGCUAUUCUUUCUGGGAGGCAUAUACUGUAGACGGAAACAAGAUUGAAUUAGAAAGAGAGUUUAAAUUGAGAUCAUUCUCAUUCACACGAUAUGAAUACUGAAAGAAGGAAAACUUCUCCUAAAAUAUUUUGUAGCCUCUUGUCCAUAAGUGUGGCGCAUUUCACACCCAUGCACAAGGCUCUACUCAACAUGGCUUUCAGAAUCCCUAGGAUAUUUUAAAACCUUAGGCUCUGAUACUAAGAUUGUAAUACCCCAGGAGUACACCCUAGAUGCCACACGAUGUUUACGAUCACAAGUGACCCCAAGCCAACCCAUAAGCUGGUACUUGCUGUGAGCACUAAAUAAACUGAUAAAAAAAUAUACACAUAUGCGGAAAACUAAAAGCGCCAUAAGGUUUAAAUACUAAAACAUCUGUAAAAUUUAAGCUUGAAAACAAUUGUCUAAACACAAUACUAUAAAGACUGUCAAAAAUAACUGAUAACUGACUAACUAUCUGAAAGUGUCUGAAAGCCUCUAACAAACUGACUGUGGAGUUGAUGGGAUAAGUCUCCAACUAACUCCAACUGGAUACUGAACUAAAACACUGAAAUAACCAUAAAUGGUCCUUGGAGUAUGAGGACUUACCACUACUACUGCUAUUGAUGCACUGGGUGGUGUUGGUGGAGUCGAGAACUUGAGCGUCUGAACCUAUGAUAUGAUACAUCAUAGCAUAAGAAACGAGUAUACGAUUAGUACUUUGAAUGUACUGGUAUGCUAGAUAGGGUUAGACUGAUAUGCAUGGGCCCAUGUACAUAAAUAAUAACUGCCUGAAUGAAUAGCAUGAGAUAACUGAUGCAUGGUAUGCGUGAAAGCUGUAAAAUCAGAGAAUACAUGACCAAGCAUAUAACAUGAUACUGAAAUAGUCCAUAAACUAAAAUCACUAAAAUCUGGUAAUUGAAUAACUAAAAAUUGUAUGUUAUGGUCAAUACAAACCUGAACUGAAUUAUACUUAAGACUAAACUAAAACUCUAGGAGCUAGCUAUAACUGACAUGCCCCAAUAUAUUAUCAAGGUCCAACUUGUAACCCCGGUUGGAAGGGUGUUAGUACCGUGCCACGGGUGCUAAGACUGGCUAUGUGAAUUGCUAAGACUGGCUAAGUGGAUCCACUAUCUGAUGUGCUAAAGGACGAGGGUGUCAUGCCUAACUGAUGGGGGACCCCUCAAAGUCUACGGUGGCGCCGUAGGUCUAGAACCUAUGGACUGGUACUAACACCUCAAGCCUAAGUGACGGGGGAGACGUCAUCCCUAAGUUUACUCGGUGCUAAGUAUUACUCCCAACUGAAGACAUUAAUUCUGAAAAUGAAAUAAUCGUGACUGAACCAACAACUGAUCAUACUAACUUAUUGAAGGAUAAUGCUUAUGGUUUAUAUGAGAUCGUUCUACAAAUACUGGGACUAUGUAAACAGCUAAAUUUUUGGGUAUUAUAACCCCAAGGACUCAAUGAAAAUAAUAAUAAGAAUAUACUAAAGCUUUGAAAACCAGAAUAAGUAGUCUUUGUUCAAACCCAAAAUUAUUUAGACAUUUCAUCAAACACUUGGAAUUCAUGGGUUUAAGCAUGGGAAUAGUGUAAUUCAUAGGAUAAUAACAUAACUUCAAUUCUAAAAUCAUGGGUUAAGAAUUUAACAUGCAACUUUCAUCCUUCAAACAUGUCAAGGGGUAAUAUUCAACGAAAACACACGUAAAUAUGGUAUAAAACUCAAAAUUCAUAGAAGUUCAUGGACAUAAUUCAUGAUAACAUAUAAAGAUCAAAAUUUUAAACUUGAAAAUAGAUUCUUGGACUCCAUGGGUGAAAAGGACCCAUGGAUAAACAUCAAAAAUACCUUAAUUGAAGAAUUCGUGAAGGUUCUUGGUGGUUUUCUUGAAACUUGAGCUUGAAUCUUGAAGGGGCUAGAGUUUAUCUUGAGAGAGAAUGGUUUUCAAGAGAUAAUUUGAGUAAAAGAUGACCAAAUAUGCUUUUGAGGGCUUUAAUCCUGUGUUAUGGCUGAGGUAAAGUGAGGGAAAAAGACUAAAAUACCCUCCUAGACCAGGAAUUAAUUAAGCUAAAACGUGGCCAGUGACGCAUCACUCAGUCGAUGCAUUAGAUGACGUAUCGUAUUGUACCCCACCAACGUGAUAAGAGGCACGUCGCAGCCCUAUUACGCUGAAUCGCUGGUUUGAACAUCCAAAUAAGCCUCAAACCUCAUUCGAAACUUACCCAGGACAUGCUACCGACCACCCCGAUCAUGAAUCAACUUAAUAAUCAAUGUUCUAAGGCCGAGAAGGUCGUAAUUAAAAUCGUCAAAGUUUAAGGGGCUUUGGAAAUCACUAAGUCUUAACACUUAGUGAAAUUUUCUAAGUCUUGGACCCCUUUAACAUGCAAGAGUGAGCUAAAACGAGUUAGGAUCUUAUGGGGUCUUACAUAAAUCUUAGUCAAACUAGGAUAAACAGUGUACCUUGACUCAUGAGACUCAACCAAGAUCCUCUAUCACAGCCAAUCAACAUCGGGAACACAUAAUCUGCUACCAUCACCACUAAUACCCAAAGUCAUGACUUUUUGCUAACCCACAUCAUCUUUGAUUCGCAUCAAAAUAGGAUCUAAAACCUGCUUCUCCUUUACCUCAGUACCAAGAGAGAACUUCACCACCUCUUGAAAGAUCACCCCACCUUCCUCGAAAUCCUAAAGAAGAACUCCAAGAUUAUCCAAAUAGUGAAUAUCCUUCACUAAACCUAGUUUCUCCUCAUCCACAUGAGAUAAGCUCCCCAUGAACAACCUGCUAAGAGAAUCAACAAACAUAUUAGCUUUACCUAGAUGAUAAUGGAGACUCAUAACAUAAUCCUUGAGAAACUCAAGCCAUCUCUGUUGCCUGAGAUUCAACUCCUUCUGGGUGAACAUAUAUUGCAAGCUCUUAUGAUCAGAAUAUAUGUCAACAUGAACUCCAUACAAGUAAUGAUGCCAAAUCUUCAAAGAAAAAACCACCAACAACAACUCUAAAUUAUGAGUCGGAUAAUUUCUCUCAUGCACCUUCAACUUCGUAGAGGCAUACGCCACCACCCUACCAUGCUACAUUAAAACAUAACCCAGUCUCAUACGGGACGCAUCACAAUAAACAACAAAACCAUCAGUACCCUCAGGUAGGGUCAAAACUAGAGCCAAAGGCAACUUAUCCUUCAACUUCUUAAAACAACCCUUACAAGCAUCAGACCACAGAAACUUUACCAUUUUCUGAGUCAACUUAGUCAAUGGAGCAGCGAUCGAAGAUAAACUCUUCACAAACCUCAUAUAAUACCCGGCUAAACCCAAGAAACUCCGAAUAUCAGAUAGAAUUAUGGGUAUAAGCCAUUUAUUAACCACCACAACUUUUUAUGAUCCCCUCACUAGAAAUAACAUAACUCAGAAAAGUAACAAUAUUCAACCAAAACUCAUACUUUGAAAGCUUAGCAUACAAGUGUUGAUUCUUAAGGGUCUGCAACACUAUACGGAGGUAAUUGGUAUGAUCCCCCUAAUUCUUAGAAUAUACCAAGACAUCAUCAAUAAACACAAUGAUGAAUAAGUAUACAACUGAUAAAAUACCCGAUCAUAAAAUCGAUAAAUAUCGCUGGGAUAUUAGUCAAAUCGAACGACAUGACCAAAAACUCAUAAUGACCAUACCGGGUAUGAAAAGGAGUCAUAGGGAUAUACACCUCCCUAAUCUUCAACUGAUGAUAACCCAAUCAAAGAUCAAUCUUAGAAAAGCAUCUAGUACCUUGAAGAUGGUCAAAGAGUCACUUAUCCUAGGAAGAGGAUACUUAUUCUUCACAAUCACCUUGUUCAACUGUUGAUAGUUUAUACACAUUUGAAUGGAUCCAUUAUUCUUAUGCAUGAAAAGCAUGUGAGCAUCCCAGGAAAAAAUACUAGGGCGAAUAAAACCUUCAUCAAGAAGAUCUUUCAAUUGUACUUUAAGCUCUUUCAACUCAGCCGGAGCAAUUCUAUAAGGAGGGAUAGAGAUAGGACAGGUAUCCAAAAGAAGGUCAAUCCCAAAGUCUAUUUCCCUAUUGGGAGGAAUACCAAAAAGAUCAUCACGAAACACGUUGGGGAACUUAUUGACUAUAGGGAUAGAUUUCAAAAAGGGGACCUCAGGAUUAGAAUCCUUAACCUGAACUAAAUGAUAUAGAUGCCCCUUGGAAAUAAAUUUUCAGGCUCUAAGAUAAGAAAUGAACCUCCUCUUAGGAGCUAGAGAACUACUUUCCCACUCAUUCACUUGUUCAUUCAAAAAUUGGAAACUGACCCUUUGAGUUCUAUAAUUAAGAGAUGCAUAGAACGAAUGGAGCCAAUCCAUCCUUAAAAUAACAUCAAAGUCUAACAUAUCUAAAUUUAUCAAAUCCACCAAUGUUUGUCUACCAUAGAUGGAUACCACAAAACCCCUAUAGACUUUUUUAGCCACAACAGAGUCACCCACUAGGGUAGACACAUAAAAGAGAUAAUAAAUACACUCAGGACCAAAACCAAAAUGAAUAGCCACAUAAAGGGUCACAUAAGAAAAAAUAGACCCUCAAUCAUAUAAAUAAUACAUGUUACAAGAGAAGAGUUAUAAUGUACUAGUGAUAAUAUCAGGAAGAGCCUCAAAUUCCUGAUGGGUGGCAAGAGCAUACAGACGAUUCUGACCAGUAACGGUACUAAAAGUAGUACCCUUUGGUGUAGAAGUUGAGUAAAUAGCAAACAAACCUUAUUAUAUCCAAAAGCAACCCUGAAGGACAACCCCAUUGUAAGUAACCAAGCUGACCAUACUUGAAGAACUUAUUCCUUCCCUCAUCACGCACUUCAUGAUGUACCUGCCCACAAAAAUGACAAAGGGGAUAAGAUUGGGAGACUGAGCUUUAUUGUCCUACAAUUAGGAACCUUAUGCGUUAAACCCACUAUUAGCCUAAAAGCAACGAUCACCGAAUGACUUCGUAUAUGGAGAACUAGCCGCAGAAUAAAAACCAUAAGUUCCCCACAUUUUCAUAGGCGACUGCCUAUCAUUUGUACCACUAAUUUGUUGGCCUUCAUCCUGCUCUGAAUACUUGAAUUUCUUACUUUGCCUUUCUCCUAUUUCGACUUGUUUCUUAUUUUCCUCCUCAACUUAUUAUAUGUACACCACAAGCCUAGAGAUAUCCAUUUAAUUAUUCAGCAAGGCAGCCUUACACUCUAACACCAAGUCCCGAGAUCAGCUUGAAGCAAACUUCCUUAUCUUAGACCUAUAUAAGACACCAACUCCAGAGCAUAGCGAGACAACUAAUGAAACUUUAAGGCAUACUCUUUCACAGUUAUCCUGCCUUGUUUCAAAUUCACAAACUCCUCAACUUUUUCCUCAUUCAACUCUUGAGGAAAAAAACUAUCAAGAAAUGCACUAGAAAUCAUCCUAUAUAUCUAGGUCAGCAUCUUCACCCCUCGACUGCUCCCACUCUUCAUACCACUUAAUGCCAUAUCCUUUAGCUAAUAUGUGGUGAAAUCCACACCCUCAAAGUCAGAAGCAUGCAUCACUAAGAAGAUUUUUUCCAUCUUAUCUAUGAACCCUUGAGGAUCCCCCUCAACCUUGGAAUCAGUGAAAGUCAGAGGACUCAACCUCAUGAAUUGACCAACCCUUAUGGCCUCAGAAUAUGAAGCAACAAAAGCAACACGCUCAGAAUAGUGCAACUGAGAUGCCACCAGCUGACUAGGCAAAUGGAUCGACUGACGAAACUCAGCAUUAUACAUAUCACCCUGAGGAGUUCGAGAAGGUUAGAGAGAAUCGAUAGAACUCCACGAGGAAAAUCAAAAGCACGAACCCUAGACUGGGUUUGUACCAUAUAAGUAGGAUGAGUUUCAUCCAUGUUGUAUUCCACGAGCAUCAGAUCUUCGUAAGGUAUGACCUGAAAUGUAAACAAAUGGGAAUUAGAGGAGAUUUCAACAUCCUAGACACUAUAGCUCAAAAGUUGAAUACAUGAAAGAAAAACAUUCCUAAAUUCCUUGUAGCCUCUCCCUUAUAAGAGUGGAACGCUAUAUACCCAUAAAAGAGACUCUACUUGACACGGCUUUAUGGAUACCCAAUUAACCAUGAACCUGGGGAUCUGAUACCAAACUUGUCACGACCCAAACUAGGGCCUGGACCCAAUUAACCAUGUUGUAUUCCACGAGCAUCAGAUCUUCGUAAGGUAUGACCUGAAAUGCAAACAAAUGGGAAUUAGAGGAGAUUUCAACAUCCUAGACACUAUAGCUUAAAAGUUGAAUACAUGAAAGGAAAAUAUUCCUAAAUUCCUUGUAGCCUCUCCCUUAUAAGAGUGGCACGCUAUAUACCCAUAAAAGAGACUCUACUUGACACGGCUUUAUGGACACCCAAUUAACCAUGAACCUAGGGAUCUGAUACCAAACUUGUCACGACCCAAACCAGGGCUUGGACAUGACAGGUAUCUUAAGUCCACCAAGGACCAAAGACUACCCUCUUUGCCUAGUAGAACAGAAUACAAUAUAGCUAGUAGUAGAUGAAUUCUGAACAUAUAACAAGACAGGAAACUCAGAAAGGAAUUUAAGAACUUCAACAACAUCUCAAUACACAGCAAUCCACAAAACUUCAAAAUAGACCAAAACCAAUCUAAGUUGGGACAUACCCCAGAUAAUAGCUAAAAAAAUCCAAUAAAAAUAAUCUAAGAUGUAAAUGAGACUUCAAAAUGAUAGAGAAUGGAAGCUCAUCACUUCAAAGGUGAUUGUUAAAAAUUCAAAAAUUCUAUCACUACAUAGAAAAAGUAAAAGUGUCUCUGAUUCCUAUAUCAUGUAGGGAUACAGCAUCCGGAGAUGGUUAGCAGGGUGAGCGCUAGCAUGUAACUAAGGAAAGGGAUAAAUUAAUGCCAAGUCAAAAACCAUAGUAAAAUUCACAUGCACACAUUGUACAUACAUAUAUAUAUAACAUGUUGGGGUAGGGAACAAGGUUUACCAUGAACGUAAAAUAUUAGCCUAGACUAUGUAGAUCUGUCAUCAUAAUAGUAUCCAUAGGAUAUAUGGGACCUAGGUCCCACCCCCUGGUCGAGCCUCAGUGCUUAUAGCCAUAUGAAUUGGAGAAUAAUCAUAUGUAUGAUAAACCACAUGGACUCGAAGAUCGGGUCAUAUAAUAAGGUUAACAUGAACACCUGAUCAUAAAAUAAGGGUAACUCGAACACCCAGCCAUUUAGACCCGUAUGCCCUUCAAAUAUAGUUUCCAGUAUUGGUCCCUCGGGACCUCCACUUUCAUAGCUUAGAUACACAACCCCCUUUAAGCCCAAUUAAAAUAUUUAGCACAUAACCAUUCAUUUGAUCAAGGAGGCAUUCAUUAAGGCAAUAUCAAGUGGUAUUUUUAUACCGACUAUAACUUGCAAGAGAAUUUCAUCAUUCCAAAUCAAAUAGCCAGUGGGACUCUAACCCACUAACUAAUAGGACUCUGGCCCAUUUAGCCAAUUGGGAUUCUAACCCAUCAGCCAAUAGGACUUUAAAAUAUUUAGCCAUUUAGGACUCAAACCCGUUUAGCCAUCUGGACUCCCAAGUUCCAUUUCAAAAUCAAUACAUGGCCAUAAAGGACUCUCAAACCAUUCUAUCCAUUAGCCUUUUUAUGCAAUUGUCAUAAUUCAAGAAUAGUUCAAUAUGUGUAUACUCAUAUUCAAAACAAAUUUUACAAGAUUGGGUUAAGGUUAUACCAUUUACAAUAUUCAAAACCAUUAAUUUUGGGAAUCCAUGACCCCCCAUUUCAAUUAACAACACCCAUGCACCCCAAAUAGUUCAAGACUAUCAAUUCAAACUGUGAAUCAUUCAUAAAAUUCAUGGGAAAAACAAUUCAUUCAUUGAGGCUCAAAACCUUCAACCCAUAUAUAUAAACCAUAAUUUAAUCACAAGAAUAACAAUUGUAAAUACAUGUUUUUAAAAAAAUAAACUUAGGGUAAGAGUAACAUAUCUGAGAUAUCAAGAAUUACGGAGAGAAAUCAACCAUUGGAUUCUCUAGUUGUCAAUUCUUUGGAAACCUAGUUGUUGUCUUAGGGAUAAAUAGAGGAUGUAUUUGAUUGUUAAAGUGAUGGAAAUAACCCUCUUUAGGUGUUUUAUGGACGUCGGUCCUGAGUGGGUAAGGAGGGAAAUGACAAGAAUUCCCUCACUUAAAAGUGUAAAAUUCAGUUAUCACGGGGCAUUUUAUGACUCGUGAAGUUAGGCUACUAGUUUGCUUCUCUAUAGACAUGCUUACAAUAAAAAUAAUCCAGUAAUCUGAUCAAAUCUCGUAACUCGGUGAUGUAAUAAAUAAGGUUCCAAGGAGGUGAAAUAACCUGUUUGAUCCACUUAGCUAGCAACUCUGACAGUACAGAGCAGUAUUAUACUUAUCAUCAGUUACCACAUGAUAAUAGAGGUUAUUAUAUGCUGGAUAAGGUGGAAAUGAUUAAUUUCAGAUGAAAGAAGUUAAAACGCAUAAAGCAGCCUUCUUAGAUUCACUUGGGUUGGAUCUUCUUGCACAGGUACUCACUUGUUUUACUUAUCCCAUCUCACUAUCUUCAUCUACAUUAUUCUCAUUAGUUUAUAGCUUUCAUGAAGAGAACAAGUUUUGUUUUUAUUUUCUUCUUACCUUGUAAGGGGAGAGUCUCUCUUAUUUAUAUUUUCCUAGAUUAUAUUGUGCUGAAAGGAGUCCUCUCUUCUAGGUGCUUAGAUCUAGAUUUCAUUUUUAGUAUCAAGGAUGAGUCGAUCGGCCUUAGUAGGUUAGUUGACUUUAAACCACCAUAGGUCAGAGGUAAGGUAUAUGUCCCCCUCUUUGUACUUUUAUUUAUUUUAUUUAUGAUACGGCUUAGGGGUGUAUGGAUUAACCCCUGACCAACACGGGAUGUGACAGCCCUGGGUAAGGUCCAUUUCUUAAAAAAAAGUUAGGCUACUAGUCGUCUCCAUGACUCGUAAUCUAAGAAGUAGCUUAAAUACCCCUCACUGGUGACCCUCUGAGUCACACACUACGACUCGUAAUGUGUCAUUAUGACAUGUAGUGUCCUAGUCAUUGUCAAGGCACAAAAAUUAGGUACCCUUAUUGGUUUUGCUACGAGAAGCACUAUACAACUCAUUUAGAGUCUUGACGACUCGUUGAGUCUAGUCGUACUUAGAAUAGGCACCUUGGGCAACCUCAUUGGUCACUAUAUAAUUGGGGUCCUAUAACCCGUCAAGACACUUUAGGACUCGUAAGGUGAGUCAUAAUUUGGGCAGUAAGCUCAAAGUCAAGAAAUUUUUCAGGGACCAAAAUCUAGGGUGUUAUAAUUAUGUUAUAAUGAUACCUCUCUUUUAUUGAAUAUUAUGAUGCUUAGUCAUAUGUUAAGUGUGACCAUCCUUGGCAUGAUGAUAAAAUUAUUGUUGCUAAUAUUAACCCUCAUGCCAUAAGGAUGUUUUGGUUGUUUGUUUUCCCUAUGGAUUUGCAAAGUGGAUUCGAGGAUGAAUCUUUUUAAAGAACGGGAGGAUGAUACAAUCCAAAUUGGAACCAACCUUUUAAGACCUAUAUUCCAAGGUAAACACAAUAGAAUCCAAUCCAUAGACAUCAUAAGGACAUAAAGAUAUAAGAAUAUGUUUGGAAAACCUUUUUUGAGACUUUAAAUAAGCAAUAUCAUGUUUGAAAGGUGGCUUGGAGCAUUAAAGAACCAACCACGAUAAGAAAAAGCUAAAGGACAUUUUUUCCAUUUUGGCGACAUAAGGGGAAUCACUAAUUACAUGGGCAAAUCACUAAUUAUCCUACCCAUAUCGCCAAAUAUGGCAGCUUUCUUGUUAGGUCUCUUUUAGGCCCAUUUGUGACAAACUUAGGCAUAGACUAUAAAUAGCUUGUCUUUCAUUUUUAUUAGGUAGAUUUUUAUGACUCUUGAGAGAUUGUGAGAGAUUGGAAAAGCCUAAGUUGAUUAUCGCUUAGCAACGGUAGUUGAAAGGGAGUUUUGAUUCCCUCGUGGUCAUUCUAAGAGAUAUUUGUUUGGUGAUAAUCUUAUGGAUGCUCAUUGUAUUUGAAAUAUCCUUCGGUUGUCCUUUUUUCUUAUCUUCUUGUGUCUAUUUAUCUAUUGAUUUCUCUAUUCUAUCCUUGUUAUCUUAGUUUCAUACUUUAUUUCUUUAUAUUUUGAAUUUUGGAUCGUAUCAUCCAUAAAAAAAUUUGUAAGGUCUACUAACUGUGUGACUAUGCCUAAGAGCAGUUUCUAUUUGCUUGCAUUAAUUUGAAACCACUACUAUAUUAAACUGGCUUAAAAAGUGCAGUUUUUACCUAAGUUCCCUACAUGAUUGGUUCCUCUUGUUUGCCUAACCUGUAGCAUUCCAGUAAAAAGAGAUUAUUUAUGUUACACAUUCAGAUUCGAGAGUUGGUUCUUUGUUUAAUCGUGAUUGGGCGGACUUUCCAUCAGAAUAUUUUUCAUGAAAGCCAAUUUUGUCAAUACACCCGCUCCCUCAUUCCUUAUUGUGUCGUAGGCCUGGACGAAUGAGUUAAUAAUAGAUUAGGUGAGGAAAACUACGAAUGUUCAUCCCAUGAAGCACCAGGGAAUCAUGCAUUUCUCCCAGGCUUGAACGAAGUCAAAGGAGAUUCUUUCAAUCGAUAUUCGCCCAAAAAAAAAGUAUAAAUAGCAACCCUAGACCCCUGGGAUAUGGCCUACAAGGAAGAGAAUAGUAACAUUGUAUUAUUCAUCCAACACUUUUUUCAGAUAUUCCCCCUUCUAGGGAUGCUUUCUCGAGCCUUCUUCCCCUAUUCUUUUUUUAUUUGGGGAUGACACGUACUUUAUCCCGAGUAGGUCAUGAGUGAUUUCUAUAUUCACAUAGAUAAUUUUGAAAUCUUCUUUCAAGCAGCUUCGUUCUUUUUCAUAGAGACUAUCCUUUGUAUAAGUCGUGACCCAUCUAAGGAAUGAGCUUCUCUCGAGUAAAAUAUCAUUGACCACAAGGAAAAGUUAAAAUCUCGACUAAAAACAAUAGUUGAUUAAAUGGCAAAUGAUCAUGGAAAGAGUCUUGCAUUCAAUGCUUCUGAUUCAGGUCCUAGACAACCAAGAAAAUAUGUGCUUAAACCUAUAAACAAGAAUUGUUGAUAAAAAAUUUUAUAUUUAAAUUAUUUAAUAAUGAAUUGAUAAUUUUUUUUCUUUUUUAUUUUGCAUUUCUUAUCAAAGGAGCUGAAAGUCACUUUUGAGCCGAAAGCCACUUAACUGUAAGGAAAUGAGAUUUGUUCCUUGGUUCAACUACUACCGAUUGAUGGGAGAAAGACAUGUGUGAAUUAGUACAAUUCAUUAUUUAUAGGCAUAUUAGACAUUCUAAGAUAAUCAUUUGGUUGGUCAUUUCCAACACUUCGGAUGGGCGGAAAGAUCUAACAGACUUUGGUAGGUAACAUCACCAAAGCGUACCAUUAUAUUUGACUAUGACAGAAAGAACUCAAAUGAAUAGACACCAUAUUGUGAAAGACAAUAGUAGUUGGCCUCUAUCAUCUUCUAUCUGAUAUACUUGAUAAAAACUCCUUACUUAUUUUCAAAACUUGAGUUCGAUCGCAACUUCCUCCUUUUUUUCAUAGGGGAGGAGGUGCAUGGGGCAUCAAUUUCCUUGCCAACUUUCGCCAAUCGACCCAGGUCUGUUUUUAUUUAUUUUGAAUAUUAUCAAACCUAUCUUAAUUUGUAGUUCCAACUCAACACAAGUUUCGCUUUUAAUAUUUUUGUUGUUUUCAAUUGAAAUUUCUUUUAUACAGAGAGAGUAAUAAUUAUGAUGGUGGAUGAUGUUGGUAUUGCUGUCACAGGUGUCAUGAAGGCGUUAUGAUGGUGGUCGGUAAUAGUGAUGGUUGUGAGGGUAAGGUUGGUUGAUGUCAGUAGUUGGCGGAUAUUGAUGAUGGUGGUUGAAGAAUGUGUUGGUAAUAUUAAAUGCAGAUGCUUGUUGUGAUAGUGGAAACGGCGCUAAUAAUGACAACAAUAAUAGUGACAGUGGAUAUAAUUAAUGAUAAGGGCAGUAAGUAUAGUAGCGAUUGAGAGUAGUGGUUAACAACAAUGAUGGUUGCUAGUGAUGGUUAUGAUGGCAGGGGUAUUUGGUGGUAGUAACCGAUUGUUGGCGGCUACAAAGGUGGUUGACAAUGAUGGUGGUUGUAACAUUGAAUAUAAUUAUAAUGAUGGAGGUGGUAUGUACGGUAGUGAUUGGUAGUAAUAGUGGACAGUAUUAGGUUGCAUUGCUAGUUGUGAUGACAGAAGUGGUUGGUCAAGUAAUAAUAAUGGUGGCUAGAUAGUAGGGAUGGUUAGUGAUGGUGACUGGGUAGGGUGGAUAGAGUGGUGGUGAAAUUAUCUACACAAAAUACCACUUAAUAUAUUUCUGCUCAAGAUUUUAAUGAUUCAAACCUAUUCAAGUUAAAUAAAUGCUUAAAUUUUAAUGAAACAAAUAUUUUUAAUAAACCAAGUCUGAACCAUUCAAAUUCAAAUCUCCACUAGAUGCAAUCAAAUGAGGAUAAUUUAAUUAAAAACCCCAUUUAUUUAGGGAGGAUAAAUGUACACAAUCCAUAACACCAUCUCAGAUGUAAAAUAGAGAAGUUAUUUUCUAUAGACCCUCGGCUCAAAAUAAAACAAUCUAGACAAAAAAAAAAAGUAAAUCGAUAAAAUACAAUAGAAAUCAACACACAGGGGCGGAGCCAAGCCUUGUUAGGGGAUUCGGCCGAACCCCCUUCAACGGAAAAAUACACCAUUUAUACAUGGUUAAAAUUAUUUUUGUGUAUUUAUAAUAGGUGUUGAACCCCCUUCGGCUAGAUUUUCUUCGAAUAUUGAACCCCCUUAGUUGAAAUCCUGGCUUCGCCUCUGUCAACACACCUAAUAAUAACCAUAUACAAGAUACACAAUAAUUAUACUUCUGGCAAAAUGAAACAUAAAUUUCAAAAAACACGUAAACAAAACGAAGGUAACUGAGCAAGCGAACAAUAACAUUUAAAAAGUAUUUGGUUUUGGAUAUAGUGAACUCCCAUUCAAAUAUGUUGGCAUCUCCUUGUCUACAAAGAGGCUCACAAGUCUACAAUGGGAUCCUUUGAGUGACAACAUUGUAGCCAAAUAUCAUCAUAGACGGAUUAGAAGUUGUCUUAUGCAGGCAAAACUCAGUUGGUGCAGUCUGUCCUGUUUGGAUUUCAAGCCUUGGUCUCCAUUGUUUGUCACUCCUAAUAAAGGUGCUAAAACUGAUUGAUUCAUACUCCAAAAUUAUACUUGGGCAGGUACUAACACUAUAUCUAGAAGAGCACUAAUGGCUUGAAAUAGAACUUGCUUACCUAAUUCAGCCAGAGGAGUCAACCUAAUUAACAUCUUUGGAACAAAGCAAUUAUUACCAAAACUUAUUGGGACCGACCAAGGAGACAGACAGGCUAUGGACAAGAUGAAUCCAUACUUUCUAUUUCAAAACUCUUCAACCUGUCAUAGCACCUAUCUGACAAUAAGCUUCGUGAGAAAGACCAUAGCAGCAAGAGGUUUAUUAGCACAUGCUCAGGUGGUAGAUGGUUGCUCAGUUUCUGUCAUACAAUUAUACUUGAAGCUGGUUGAUGACAGGCCGAGGCAUAGGGUUAAUUGGACCAUAGGCAAUACUUACAAUGUCAAUGCAGUUACAGAAUAAACUUCCUACCACAGAUGGCUACUCAAAUGGCAUUAACAAUGAAUCCAACAAGCAAAUUUUGCCAAACAUGCCUGGAAACUCGAGACCAUACUACUCCCUCCAUUUCAUGAUAAAUGAAUUGUUGGAUUUUAACACAUAUUAAGGAAAAAGACGAGAUCAAUAUGUUUUGGCUCUCAGCUGAUAAGAAUACUCUCCAGCUAAAGACGAGAUCAAUCAAGUAGGCAGAAGGUUCAUAUAUAUUGAUGAAAAUAAAAGAACAAAAAGGAAACAUUUUCUUUUGCAAGUCUAAAGAAACAUUCCUCAGGACAGAAAACAAAAUUUAGGAUACUAAUAUCUCAUAUAAGAAAACUACAAGAACAAAACAGCGGGGAGCAUAACAUCUAACAAAUCAAGCCUCAACUCUCUCAGGUGGUGCUGCCUCCUCAGCGGCGUAGACAAUAACCUUAUUGGCAGGCUUUGCCAAGAUAUCAAAGUACUCUUGGAAUGGAGAUUUUGUGAAGCGAGUCUCUUUCCAAAAGUCUGGAGUGAGGAACCCAUAAGUCUUCAUUAAACAAUCGAAGGUAGCCUGCAUACAUAAUGAGUGAUAUUAGACUUGAACACAAUUAGUACACCACCUGCAGAUAUAUUAUAAACGAGCAACAAAGAACCAAGUGGAGCUGAUUCUAACAUUCAACCAGAGAGGUCAAUGCUGGGAAAGCAAAGAAUGGAAUGCCUGUUCUGAAACAAAGAUUUUAUACUAUAUAAACACCAUCACCCACGCUGUGGAUAGAAAUAACAGUUGGUUACAGAAAAAACUUCAAUUAUAUUGCAGUCCCUUCUUUAAAAGAAGGAUGCAAUAGAGUCAUAUUAUAGCUUUCUAGGAACAAAGGGCUAACAUCAAGCAUUGCAGCAUCCACAUUCAAGAAUUAAACUUAACCUAACUAGAAAGAAAAACACACAAGUAUAGAACUAAUAAUGGCACAGACUCCUGUCCCACAAUUUGACUUGCUUAACACUGCAUUCAAUAACUACACACACUGUCCGAAUUUAACUGAUACUCUCAAUAUAUCUACCAUUUAGGAACUAACCUAAACAACUUUGUUUUGGACAAUGACCAUAUUUGAAACUAUAAAAUUCGCAAUUGUUACUAUAUCUGUUAUACAAUAAGGACACAAAAAGCAUGGAUCAGAUUGUAUUGGUUCAAAGCACAAGACAACAUUUCUAUCUCAGAUGGUAUAUAUAUACAAAGAUCAUAUCUAUUUACAACAUGUUUCACUGGAUCAGACUACCCGGUCUCCUAGAUGCCUUUACAUGUAGUCAUCUCCAUAUUAACUAUUUCAAAUAUAUUUAAAUCAAAAUGUACAGUUGGUUAAUUCUUUUGUUCAAUGUUGUUUGGUACACCAGAUGGGAUAAGUAGGGAUAUUUAUUAUCCGGUGUAGCAACCAACCAUAAAUAUAAUGUUAUACACAUCACUUCUUAAGAUGUGAUAUCAGUAGAUAUAGUAAGCAUAUAAUCAUGUAAUUAUGGAUACCACAACAGAUUAGAACAUGGUAAUAGAACCAACACACAAUCAUAAAAGAUCGAACCUUAACGAAGUUUCCAAGGGUUUUGGUGGAUCCACGAGAAGAGGUAAAGACAUCUUCAAUACCAGCAAACUGAAGAACCUUCUUAGGAACACGAGCAGCAACAAUACCAGCACCACGAGGAGCAGGGACCAUCCUCACAGUAACAGAACCACAUUUCCCAGUAACCUUACAAGGCACUGUGUGUGGCUUCCCAAUCUUAUUCCCCCAAUAACCUCUCCUCACUGGAAUCACUGACAACUUCGCCAAUAUAAUCGCUCCACGUAUAGC